CCUGUAAAUAGUCAAGAUCAGGAAUUGGCUUGUACUCUGACACUAGCGCUGUGCCCGAUCCUGCAGUGAGAGAUUGGGCUUGAGUAGGAAUUUCAGUAGUGAUCUCAUCAGACCCAUACAUAUAUGCAUCAUCACCGACUUGAUUCCUCCAGCCACUUUUAUCCCCUUGUCUUCUAAUAAACACACAAAGCCACGUGGGUGCUGAGGAGAGCGGAUUCGGCGAUCGCCGAAUCCGCUCUCCUCAGCACCCACGUGGCUUUGUGUGUUUAUUAGAAGACAAGGGGAUAAAAGUGGCUGGAGGAAUCAAGUCGGUGAUGAUGCAUAUAUGUAUGGGUCUGAUGAGAUCACUACUGAAAUUCCUACUCAAGCCCAAUCUCUCACUGCAGGAUCGGGCACAGCGCUAGUGUCAGAGUACAAGCCAAUUCCUGAUCUUGACUAUUUACAGG
rnacentral:misc_RNA from 1 species